GCGGAGCGGCCGUCGGUGCAG
rnacentral:siRNA from 1 species